rnacentral:sRNA from 1 species
CUAAAACAACAAAAGCCCUGCCUCUCUUUCGUCCUUGCGGCUCCGAAGACCGCUCCAGCGUGAAUCAGAAAAUUUCAAA